GAUGAAGAACGUAGCGAAAUGCGAUACGUAAUGUGAAUUGCAGAAUUCAGUGAAUCAUCGAGUCUUUGAACGCACAUUGCGCCCCCUGGUAUUCCGGGGGGCAUGCCUGUCCGAGCGUCAUUGCUGCCCUCAAGCCCGGCUUGUGUGUUGGGCCUCCGCCCCCCGGCUCCCGGGGGGCGGGCCCGAAAGGCAGCGGCGGCACCGCGUCCGGUCCUCGAGCGUAUGGGGCUUCGUCACCCGCUCCGUAGGCCCGGCCGGCGCCCGCCGGCGACCCCCCUCAAUCUUUCCAGGUUGACCUCGGAUCAGGUAGGGAUACCCGCUGAACUUAAGCAUAUCAAUAAGCGGAGGA
rnacentral:misc_RNA from 1 species